UUGUUUGUCUUAGGUUUCGUCACCGGUGAACGGGAUGUGAAGUCGAGGAUUCCAUAAAUAUUACACAGGCAGAAAGUCAAUGGAGCCUAGAAGGUCAAGAUGGAUCAGAAACAAUACAAUGUUUAGCAGCUGCAAGACGAGCCAACGUGAAUUCAAGUUAAACAAAAUUGUAUCGCCAAAACAGUGUGACAAUGGAAUUCAUGGAACAACUUCAGCGCGAGAAAACAGGAUUCCUGGAACCCGAACUAACUCGAGAACUAUGGUGGAAAUUCCAAAAAUAUUCAGUGCUUUCGUUUGGAGCGACCGACGGCUUUUUACUGGGAUGCGUCUAGUCCUUGGACCCAAUGGGAAGUGUCAUCAGUGUUGGUUGUCCUCCCCUAUUUGGUUGUAUCGUUGAUCGGAUUAUUCUGCACCUAUUUUGUAGAUCCAGUUUUGCUCAAAAGGUCACCAAUAGGAAAACCACAAGUUGCCGGUAGUGAUAGUAUUAUAAUUGGUUUUAAGAGUAAGAAACCCACCGUCGUUUCACCCACAAGAGGAUGUACGAAAUAACUUACAAUUUUUAUAAUAAAAUAACAAUUAAACAACGCAGCAUGAUAUCGCACGUAAUCAUCAUCAGAGGAGAUGGUAUUAAUUGCCAAAAUCAGCUAAAACCAUUCAUCACAUUCCAUUUAUUUCUCAACUUAGGUGAACGAGGCCAGCCACGAAACUACGUUGUUGUGUUUCGCUAGGAAGGGAUCGUGGAGUACUACUAACUAAAAUAGAUACUAGAGUAAAAUUAUUCAAACGAAAUAAAGAUAUUCAAACGCA